rnacentral:rRNA from 1 species
GACGAACGCUGGCGGCGUGCUUAACACAUGCAAGUCGAACGGAAAGGCCUCUUUCGGGGGGUACUCGAGUGGCGAACGGGUGAGUAACACGUGAGUAACCUGCCCUUGACUUUGGGAUAACUUCAGGAAACUGGGGCUAAUACCGGAUAGGAGCUCCUGCUGCAUGGUGGGGGUUGGAAAGUUUCGGCGGUUGGGGAUGGACUCGCGGCUUAUCAGCUUGUUGGUGGGGUAGUGGCUUACCAAGGCUUUGACGGGUAGCCGGCCUGAGAGGGUGACCGGCCACAUUGGGACUGAGAUCCGGCCCAGACUCCUACGGGAGGCAGCAGUGGGGAAUAUUGCACAAUGGGUGGAAGCCUGAUGCAGCAACGCCGGGUGCGGGAUGACGGCCUUCGGGUUGUAAACCGCUUUCGCUCAUGACGAAGCUUUGUGUGACGGUAGUGGGUAAAGAAGCACCGGCUAACUACGU